GGGGGCGCCUUGGUUUCGACGGGGACGCGGACGCUGUGUGUUGCAUGCCGAGGUCGCAGGAUCCUCGUAAAUCACUUGCAAAAAAUACAAACGCCAACAACAAGCGUUUCGCUCUCGCUGCUUAAUAUAGCGAGAUGCCGCUCCUAGACUAACUCAUCUAGGGGUCUGUUAAUUCAGGCCAGCGGUAUCAUCCUCGAGUUCAAGCCCCGUAGGUCUCUCUAUCUCCUCGGGUCGCUGGAGACACGAUAGAUAAGCCCCUACAGGCCCUCUUGCUGGGAAUUGUGGAGGUCGAAAAUCCAGAAAGCAAGCAAGCAUGUGGAUGAUUCACCAGAAAAAGGUUUCCGGACGCGGGUUCAACUCCCGCCGCCUCCACCA
rnacentral:tmRNA from 2 species